GCGCGGCACCGCCUGCCCGCCCGGGGCUGGAGGGAGCCCCGGUGUGACCGAGGGUCGCCUCCUGCACCGGGCCUCUGCAAGCCCAGGCUGGGAGUGGCCCAGGGCAGAGAGACCCGGGGUGCUGCUCCACACUGGCUGAACGUGAGGCAGCAGGGUGCCCGCUUGGCCGGGGAGGCCAAUGCCAUCCUGGCCUGGAUCAGCAGCCGUGUGUUCAGCAGGACCAGGCAAGGGGUCAUCCCCCUGUACUUGGCACCGGUUGCUUUUCCAGCCUAAUGGAUUCUGCGUUUCUGUACCGAGCGUAGCGUGGAGCAGCACAGAAGCUGGAGUGAGCUUUUCAACUGGACUCCUUGCUGCUUGACUGCAGCGUUUGCUCGGGGGUGAGGACAUGCAGGACGCGGGACAGCCGCGGCCCGCGAUCCGCCCCCGGGCAGCCCCGGCCCGGCCCCGGCCCCGGCCCGCGCCGCGAGCAGCGAGCGCCCUCUCGCGGCACGGCGCGGGGCCGCGGGCGGAGGCGGCUGAGGGCUGUGCUGUGCCCGGGCCCCCGCAGGGCCUGGGGCCGCCCCGGGGACACGGGUGUCCCUGCCGCAGCACGGCCCGGCUCGCAGCCUGCACUGGCGCUCGCUCCUGGGGUAAAAUAAACAGCUAUUGACCUUCCUGCCGCUGAGCAGUCGUUACCUAGAACAAUACAGAGUACCUUCCCUUUUCAAAAGUGGCCAUUCAAAGCGUAUUAAGUCCAGCGUUUUCUAUUCUGUGCCCUUUUGGGAAUGUGGUCUCGGUGAUGAGUCACCGCGGCCUUGGGAAAGGUGCUCAGGGCUAGAAAUGUUGGGUGGGUUGGGCAGGUUUAUGCUUUCCUUUGAGCUUUGCGACCUGUUUGCUCGGCAUGACUGAGAGUGCAUACACACUGUGAAAUGUUGGCUGUGCUCUUGUUUCUCCUUGCAGGAAGGCUAAAUAGGCUGCUCUGAUAAUUAUCUGUUAAUGACAUGCCUAUGCUUUCCCCCGCCCUUUUCUUUUUUUCCUCCUUUUUCUGGGGUGUUCUUUGGAGAUUACCAGAGAGUUUGGUAAAAAAUCCUGCUGUGGUAAAACUGCUGGGAAUCCCAUCUACAAAACCCACUGAGGUUGUGGACUUACGCCUGAUUAAUAAAUGUCACUGUGUUGCUUUGCUGAUGCAGGAGAGAAGAUUGUGUGGCCCCCACUUACGUCUUGGUAUCUGGAAGAAAUUUCUGAAAUUAAAUUUAUUGUGUUUUUUUCUC